rnacentral:sRNA from 1 species
ACGCUUUCUGUUCCAGUAUCUACAUCCACCAA